GGGUGCCGUAGUUCAGCUGUUUAGAACGCCUGCCAGUUACGCAGGAUGCCGCGGGUUCGAGUCCCGUCGCUCCUGCCA
rnacentral:tRNA from 1 species